GUAGAUGAUGAGGGGAGUAUGUGAGGUAGAUGAUGAGGGGAGUAUGUGAGCUAGAGGAUGAGGGGAGUAUGUGAGCUAGAGGAUGAGGGGAGUAUGUGAGGUAGAUGAUGAGGGGAGUAUGUGAGGUAGAUGAUGAGGGGAGUAUGUGAGCUAGAGGAUGAGGGGAGUAUGUGAGGUAGAUGAUGAGGGGAGUAUGUGAGCUAGAGGAUGAGGGGGGCGAAUGAAGGUGUUAAUGUGCCGCUACAUCAGUGCUGCCAAACUUCCACGGUUCACGGUGAGGGAGAGAGAGCGCACAUCGAUGUCUGUGGUUGGUGUGGAAUCUUCAAAUUGAGAUGUGCGAGUCGACUUCGAUGAAUUAUGUUUUCUAGAAGAUACGAUCGUCAUUCGCCAAGUCUUCAAGAAGAUAAUAAACUAUAAACAUGGGCGGAGUGUUGUAGUUCUGGUCUUACUAUGCCUUGUCACCGAGCCUUCAAACAAAUAUUGUCAAUAAAAAUAUUGUCAAUAAAAUGUCUUCAACA
rnacentral:lncRNA from 1 species